UCAGGAAGUACAGACCCGGGGAUUCCCGCCAUGGACUGGGCUCCACUCCUCCUCACCAUCCUUGCUCACUGCACAGGGUCUGGGGCUACCUUUGUGCUGACUCAGCCUGGCUCUGUGUCGGGGUCCCCUGGAGAGAAGGUCACUAUCUCUUGCACCCGCGACAGUGGCAGCAUUGGAAGCUACUAUGUGUCCUGGUACCAGCAGCGCCCGACCAGCGCCCCCACCACCCUGAUCUAUCAGUAUAACCAAAGGCCCUCGGGGGUUCCCGAUCGGUUCUCUGGCUCCAUCGACAGCUCCUCCAACGCCGCCUCGCUGACCAUCUCUGGGCUGCAGCCUGAGGACGAGUCCAUCUACUUCUGUCUGUCUUAUGAUAGCAACAGUAAUCUCACAGUGCUGCAGCCGCAGGGGGAAGUGAGACAUGAACUCCCCGAGCUCAGCAUCUUGGGUCUGCCCUGAGCCUGCCCUGAGCAGGCUGUUAGCUCCUCUCUCUCCUGCUGAGUGCUGGAGGGGGAAUGGACUGUUUAGAGUCUCUUCUCAUUUGUAUUUAAAAUGCUAGUUUCAGGGCAGCAGACAGCACGGUUGUUUAAGGGGUGGAUCUCACAUAGUUGAUCCCAUGGUUCGAGUCC